CUGAAGCAGUUACUAAUUGUUUGGGGAUGACGCAAAUGGCUGGGUCCAAUUUCAGCCCUACUGCUGGCUCCCGGGCAGGAAUGACCUGCUCGACUAUUACUGCUCUCCAUAUCCUGGUGAAAGGCAGGCCUCUCAAUUCCCCAGGUGUUGAGCUCCUACCAUAGGUUCCUGGCCUAACUCUCCCGAAGCAUCAAUCAUCCAAGAUUGCUUCACCAGGACUUCUGAGCUGCCCUCACUGAACUGGAGUUGUCCUCUGCACUACUGGUGACACUUGUGGAAAACUGCUUCAAUAUCAGCUCAGUAUCACAUCACUUCCUACAUUUUCAUAAAUGUUUCCAUGUCUGA